AUGGUUAGUACAUGUAUAGCUGUUUUGGGAGGAACACGCCAUAACAACACAGAAGUGAAACAAAAAGAUGCUUCCAUAUUUCAGCCGUCCGAUGAAUGCUGUGGUAUGGACCGAUUGCAGGUGACGUCACUUCUCCUAACCGCCAUUCUCCAGGCUCUGACUUACGCUUUGUAUGAGAAAGACAUUCUCAAAUGGAAAGAUGACGACAACAUUUUCCUGGAAAUUCACAGUUUUCAAAAGAUGAUCGAAAAAGUAAAACAACAGCCGUAUGUGACUUUUGUUGGUGUCCCUGGUUCCGGAAAAACAGCCACAGCCCGUCACAUUGCUCUUAUACUGGAGGAAGAAGGGUAUGAAAUCUUACCAAUAAAGAAAAUAAAACUCAUAGAAGAUUUCUGCGAUUUACACAACCCGCAGGUGUUUCUUGUUGAUGAUGUUGUAGGAGUUCAUGGGUUUGGUAUGAAGGAGUUUGAUAGAAUAAGCAGAUUCACUAUGUACGUCAACAACAUUUUCAUGUUGUUUGUCCAAGACAUCAAAAAUGUUUCCAUUGAUAUGCAAACUGUUUUCAAAAGAGGAAACUUUUCGACAAUAUGGACCGAAUUUCUUUGUCUCACCAGUUCCCAGUCUUUUAGAGCUCUUAGAGAGAAUGGAACAAAGAAACAAAUUACACUACGCUUCAUUAGUUUUAUUAAUGAUAAAUCAAAAUAA
rnacentral:sRNA from 1 species